rnacentral:rRNA from 1 species
UACGUAGGAGGCGAGCGUUGUCCGGAGUUACUGGGCGUAAAGCGCACGCAGGCGGUCAGAUCAGUCUGGAGUGACAGUCGUCGGCUUAACCGACGAAGUGUUCUGGAAACUGUCUGACUUGAGGGCUUCAGAGGGACACGGAAUUCCGGGUGGAGUGGUGAAAUGCGUAGAUAUCGUCUGGAACGCCGAAGGUGAAAACAGCUCGCUGGGGCCGCGCUGACGCUGAGACACGAAAGCCAGGGGAGCGAACGGG